AUUGCUUCUCGGCCUUUUGGCUAAGAUCAAGUGUAGUACAAAGUUUGUGUAUAAAUGCAUGGAUGCCAAGUAGACUAUUCUUUUGUAAUCGUUGGGUAUAAUUUUUUCUAAUGUUAAAGCUAUGGUCUGAAAAUCACAGGCAUUUUCAACAUUUACUCAGUAUGGGACAUGCUCUGAGAACUUAAUCAAU